rnacentral:rRNA from 1 species
CCUACGGGAGGCAGCAGUGAGGAAUAUUGGUCAAUGGACGCGAGCCUGAACCAGCCAAGUAGCGUGAAGGAUGACUGCCCUACGGGUUGUAAGCUUCUUUUAUAGAGGAAUAAAGUGAGGCACGUGUGCCUUUUUGUAUGUACUUUAUGAAUAAGGAUCGGCUAACUCCGUGCCAGCAGCCGCGGUAAUACGGAGGAUACGAACGUUAUCCGGAUUUCUUGGGUUAAAGGGAGCGUAGGUGGGUUGGUAAGUAAGUUGUGAAAGUUUGCGGCUCAACCGUGAAAUUGCAAUUGAUACUGGGAGUCUUGAGUACAGGUGAGGUAGGCGGAAUUCGUGGUGUAGCGGUGAAAUGCUUAGAUAUCACGAAGAACUCCGAUUGCGAAGGCAGCUUACUAAACUGCAACUGACAUUGAGGCUCGAAAGUGUGGGUAUCAAACAGGAUUAGAUACCCCUGUAGUC